rnacentral:rRNA from 1 species
GAUGAACGCUGGCGGCGUGCCUAAUACAUGCAAGUCGAGCGAACGGACGAGAAGCUUGCUUCUCUGAUGUUAGCGGCGGACGGGUGAGUAACACGUGGAUAACCUACCUAUAAGACUGGGAUAACUUCGGGAAACCGGAGCUAAUACCGGAUAAUAUUUUGAACCGCAUGGUUCAAAAGUGAAAGACGGUCUUGCUGUCACUUAUAGAUGGAUACGCGCUGCAUUAGCUAGUUGGUAAGGUAACGGCUUACCAAGGCAACGAUGCAUAGCCGACCUGAGAGGGUGAUCGGCCACACUGGAACUGAGACACGGUCCAGACUCCUACGGGAGGCAGCAGUAGGGAAUCUUCCGCAAUGGGCGAAAGCCUGACGGAGCAACGCCGCGUGAGUGAUGAAGGUCUUCGGAUCGUAAAACUCUGUUAUUAUGGAAGAACAUAUGUGUAAGUAACUGUGCACAUCUUGACGGUACCUAAUCAGAAAGCCACGGCUAACUACGUG